rnacentral:rRNA from 1 species
UACGAAGGGGGCUAGCGUUGUUCGGAUUUACUGGGCGUAAAGCGCACGUAGGCGGAUUGUUAAGUGAGGGGUGAAAUCCCAGGGCUCAACCCUGGAACUGCCCUUCAUACUGGCAAUCUCGAGUCCGGAAGAGGUGAGUGGAACUCCUAGUGUAGAGGUGGAAUUCGUAGAUAUUAGGAAGAACACCAGUGGCGAAGGCGGCUCACUGGUCCGGUACUGACGCUGAGGUGCGAAAGCGUGGGGAGCAAACAGG